ACUGGAACAUGGAAAAGGGUUACAAAUAUUCAGAUUUUAUUAUAAAUAAAAUACUGUUCUUUUUAACAUAAAAAAUGCCAAGUGUUGCAUUUUUUUUUUACCACCCUGGAGAGCAAGACUGUAGAGAUUAAGGCAAACAGCUCAAGUGAAGGCACAUGGAAAAGGGCCACAGUUGGAAUUAAAAGGGAAACUUCCAGGGAACACCUGUGUAUGUUCCCUGCGACACCCCCGCAUUCUGCAGCAGCCACCCUGUCAGUUUCAUUACAGAUAAUACAGAUAACUGGAACUAUACAAUACAAUAAUGGCUAUAUUGCAGGAGUGUAAUGAAGGUAUCCUCUUAUAAAGAACUUUUAUCUUAAAAAUAAAAUUCUGUUUAAAAAUAUACCACGUAGAUGGAAAAGGAGAAAAGAAACCACCCAUCUCCCCAAUUUCACUGUGGCCUAAGACUUACUGGAGUGAACCUGACCCACAGGCUAGGUGGGAGAACCACCUUCGCAGUCUAUCUUCAGUCCUUUUCCUGCAACCUUGACCAAAACGUCUACUGGGAUGUGAUCACGUAACAAGAGGAAUUAGCUAGGAAACACUGAUGUGAACACUUGGCAAGAAAGAGUCAUGCCUCUUGUGAUGGGAGAAGAGGCCUGAGAGGAGGAAUAGCGUGAUGCCAGCUCAAGACACCACUAAGUCAGCUCUGGGAUGCGAGGAGGAGACGGAAAGGAGAAGAACAAGGACAGACCACCUCUCCCACUCUACCUGUCCACAGCACGACCCCUGGUGCCUUACCAGUGCUCAGUAAUCAUGCACCUCCCGAUCAAAAUGAUCCAUCCAGGCCAAACGACUGCCAGAAAGGAUAUUUCCAGCUCAUCCCUGGCUAGGCUCACACUGAUGGUGCAGGCGUUAAGAACACUGUGCUGUGGUUGAGGACCACCAGG
rnacentral:lncRNA from 1 species